GCAGCAGCCACGGGAAUACAGAGGGUGCGAGCGUUAAUCGGAUUUACUGGGCGUAAAGCGUGCGUAGGCGGCUUCUUAAGUCGGAUGUGAAAUCCCUGAGCUUAACUUAGGAAUUGCAUUCGAUACUGGGAAGCUAGAGUAUGGGAGAGGAUGGUAGAAUUCCAGGUGUAGCGGUGAAAUGCGUAGAGAUCUGGAGGAAUACCGAUGGCGAAGGCAGCCAUCUGGCCUAAUACUGACGCUGAGGUACGAAAGCAUGGGGAGCAAACAGGAUUAGAUACCCGCGUAGUCCCUGUCUCUUAUAC
rnacentral:rRNA from 1 species